rnacentral:lncRNA from 1 species
GUUUCCAGUACCAGGCAUGAUUUCAUCCUUGCUGAGCAGAUAGAUCAAGAUGUAUAACUCUCCAUGACUUCUUCAACAGUAUGUCUGUCUGUGCACUGGUACAUUUCUCACCAUGAGGAUAAUGGACUAAACUUCUGAAACUCAUCAUUUGGUACUUCACUGUGACACCAUCUGUUCCAGCAAACUGGCCUCCUUGAAAACAAGAGCUAUGUUGAAGAAUGGCACUAGCUAUUUUGAAGAAUGAAAAGAUAUUGAAAGCUGAAAAGGAGAAGUACAAGGUAACAUAUAACGAUCCCGGCUAUAAAGGCAGACAGUGUGACAGAAACAACAUGUAUCAAAAGAAAACUGGCAGUGGAAGCAGAAACAUGAAAGAAGAUGCUGAAAUGGUGGUUUGCCUAUGGGAUAAGCCUGUUCUAAGUAUUCAUCUGUUCAUAUUCUCAUUCCUUCUUACUCCUGGAGAAAAUGGAAAACUAUGGAUUCCUUCCAGACCAAUAUGGUUUAUCAAGCAAGACCCCCUGAAGCAGUAACCCAACUGAUCCUAUAUUCAAAAGAGUUGAGAUGAUACAGUCAUAGAUGACUACAGCCAGGAUUUCUGUGUUUUAUCAUGGUCUCCAUGGGCUUUUCGUGGCAGUGAGACACGCGUGCUCCUGUCACACCAAUUACCUCAGAAAGCAGGAUGGGCAUCGAAGAAACUCAUUAUGGAGUUUGCUUUCAACAUGGCAAGGUUAGCCAUUUGGGCAAGAAACUGCCCUUGCCUGGACUGUUUGUUGCUGUAUAAACUGGACAUGCAGGACCCACAGGUAAGUGACUGCUAACUUACAAAACAAGAUGGACAGUCCUGAAGGAUUCCUGCUUCAUGGAAGCAUCUGGAAGACAUUCUUCAGGACACAGAGGGAAUUGGCUGACAAAUUGCCAAUGCAGGUGGACAGUUUAAAAUUUUCUGCUUCACUGAGAAGUCUGUCAGACACAUUGUGGACUAUAGGCUGAAGAUGGACGCCCCAACGUACAAAGGAACUUUGGAUGACUGUCCAGACAGUGAGAUGUCUCUACAAGAUCUAGAGUUUAUAUGUUAUCCUUCUGGGGUCUUUGAUGGAGUUGAAGACAGAUAGUUAUGGUUAUAGUUUUCUUUAGUUAUUAUAAAAGAUAAAUUACAUAUAAGACCUUAGAC